rnacentral:rRNA from 1 species
AUUGAACGCUGGCGGCAUGCCUUACACAUGCAAGUCGAACGGCAGCACGGGUGCUUGCACCUGGUGGCGAGUGGCGAACGGGUGAGUAAUAUAUCGGAACGUACCUUAUUGUGGGGGAUAACGCAGCGAAAGCUGUGCUAAUACCGCAUAAUCCCUAAGGGGGAAAGCGGGGGACCGUAAGGCCUCGCGCAAUUAGAGCGGUCGUUACGUGAUUAGCUAGUUGGUGAGGGAAAGGCUCACAAAGGAAACGAUCGGUAGCUGGUCUGAGGGGACGAUCAGCCACACUGGGACUGAGACACGGCCCAGACUCCUACGGGAGGCAGCAGUGGGGAAUUUUGGACAAUGGGGGCAACCCUGAUCCAGCAAUGCCGCGUGAGUGAAGAAGGCCUUCGGGUUGUAAAGCUCUUUUGUCAGGGAAGAAACAGCAGCUUUAACACAGUUUGCGAAUGACGGUACCUGAAGAAUAAGCACCGGCUAACUACGUGCCAGCAGCCGCCGUAA